UACGUAGGGGGCGAGCGUUGUCCGAAGUUACUGGGCGUAAAGCGCGCGUAGGCGGUCUCUUAAGUCUGGGGUGAAAGGUUCAGCGCUCAACGUGAACAGUGCCUUGGAUACUGGGGGACUUGAGUUCGGGAGGGGGCAGUGGAAUUCCUGGUGUAGCGGUGAAAUGCGUAGAUAUCAUUUGGAACGCCAAUGGUGAAAACAGCUCGCUGGGGGUGCACUGACACUGAGACACGAAAGCCAGGGGAGCGAACGGG
rnacentral:rRNA from 1 species